GUGCCAGCAGCCGCGGUAAUACGUAGGGGGCAAGCGUUGUCCGGAAUUAUUGGGCGUAAAGCGCGCGCAGGCGGUUCAUUAAGUUUGGUGUUUAAGCCCGGGGCUCAACCCCGGUUCGCACUGAAAACUGGUGGACUUGAGUGCAGGAGAGGAAAGCGGAAUUCCACGUGUAGCGGUGAAAUGCGUAGAGAUGUGGAGGAACACCAGUGGCGAAGGCGGCUUUCUGGACUGUAACUGACGCUGAGGCGCGAAAGCGUGGGGAGCAAACAGGAUUAGAUACCCGCGUAGUCC
rnacentral:rRNA from 1 species